rnacentral:rRNA from 1 species
UACGUAGGCAGCAAGCGUUGUUCGGAGUUACUGGGCGUAAAGGGUGUGUAGGCGGUUGUUUAAGUUUGGUGUGAAAUCUCCCGGCUCAACCGGGAGGGUGCGCCGAAUACUGAGUGACUAGAGUGCGGGAGAGGAAAGUGGAAUUCCUGGUGUAGCGGUGAAAUGCGUAGAUAUCAGGAGGAACACCUGCGGUGUAGACGGCUUUCUGGACCAUUGCUGACGCUGAGACACGAAAGCGUGAGUAGCAAACAGG